rnacentral:rRNA from 1 species
GACGAACGCUGGCGGCGUGCUUAACACAUGCAAGUCGAGCGGUAAGGCCCUUUCGGGGGUACACGAGCGGCGAACGGGUGAGUAACACGUGGGUGACCUGCCUCUAGCUCUGGGAUAAGCCCGGGAAACUGGGUCUAAUACUGGAUAUGACUCCAUGACGCAUGUUGUGGGGUGGAAAGCCUUGUGCGGCUAGAGAUGGGCCCGCGGCCUAUCAGCUUGUUGGUGGGGUGANGGCCUACCAAGGCGACGACGGGUAGCCGGCCUGAGAGGGCGACCGGCCACACUGGGACUGAGACACGGCCCAGACUCCUACGGGAGGCAGCAGUGGGGAAUCUUGCGCAAUGGGCAAAGCCUGACGCAGCGACGCCGCGUGAGGGAUGA